rnacentral:snoRNA from 1 species
UGGAAGUGAUGAAAUAGAGGUCACUGGGUGUUGGUGUGAAUGGUGUAUGACUGGGAACUGUUAAUUUAUUAAACUUUUAAUACUUUAAUGUUUGUGUCUGUGAGAGUGAUAUACAAAGGCUGCAGGCUGGGGGCCCUGAUAUGAAGUGCUGACUUCAGAGUGCAUCUGAGGCAUGUUGGAAUUUGAGGGGUUUUCUGCAACAUUGCCAAUGAUUAGACCCCCAAAUAAGCUUACCGGUUGAGCCUUGACAUCCUGAAUCUCUAACAGGUUCAUUAUGUAUAAAUGAAUCUGUGAUCUGAUCCAA